UACAGAGGGUGCAAACGUUGUUCGGAAUUACUGGGCGUAAAGCGCGUGUAGGCGGCUUUGCAAGUCGGGCGUGAAAUCCCAUGGCUCAACCAUGGAAGUGCACUCGAAACUGCAGAGCUAGAGUCCUGGAGAGGAAGGUGGAAUGCUUGGUGUAGAGGUGAAAUUCGUAGAUAUCAAGCGGAACACCGGUGGCGAAGGCGGCCUUCUGGACAGUGACUGACGCUGAGACGCGAAAGCGUGGGGAGCAAACAGG
rnacentral:rRNA from 1 species